CCUACGGGAGGCAGCAGUGGGGAAUAUUGCACAAUGGGCGCAAGCCUGAUGCAGCCAUGCCGCGUGUGUGAAGAAGGCCUUCGGGUUGUAAAGCACUUUCAGCGGGGAGGAAGGCGUUAAGGUUAAUAACCUUGUCGAUUGACGUUACCCGCAGAAGAAGCACCGGCUAACUCCGUGCCAGCAGCCGCGGUAAUACGGAGGGUGCAAGCGUUAAUCGGAAUUACUGGGCGUAAAGCGCACGCAGGCGGUCGGUCAAGUCGGAUGUGAAAUCCCCGGGCUCAACCUGGGAACUGCAUUCGAAACUGGCAGGCUAGAGUCUUGUAGAGGGGGGUAGAAUUCCAGGUGUAGCGGUGAAAUGCGUAGAGAUCUGGAGGAAUACCGGUGGCGAAGGCGGCCCCCUGGACAAAGACUGACGCUCAGGUGCGAAAGCGUGGGGAGCAAACAGGAUUAGAUACCCGAGUAGUC
rnacentral:rRNA from 1 species